AAGACUAUACUUUCAGGGAUCAUUUCUAUAGUUCUUAACUGGAGAAAUGUGCUCGAAAGUGGUCAAACUCAGUAACCAUGAGGAAGAGCUGCAGUGUGUUCCCCUGAGCAUGAAGUGGGUAUCAAGUACUGUUUAUAACAGCUGCUUGUUACUUUUGAUGAUUGUUCCUCUCUUUAUUCAUGAGGAGUAGGAGGGGGAAUACACAAGCUGAAUGGU